UGCAAAACUGAACACACUAUCAUACAUACAC
rnacentral:piRNA from 1 species